rnacentral:sRNA from 1 species
UGAAGUCUUGAAAGAGAGCCUUUGAUGU